rnacentral:rRNA from 1 species
CAGCCGCCGCGGUAAUACGAGGGGUGCAAGCGUUAUUCGGAUUGAUUGGGUGUAAAGGGUGUGCAGACGGCUUAUUAAGUCACUUGUUAAAUUCUUCGGCCUAACUGAAGGUCUGCAAGUGAUACUGAUGAGCUAGAGGGUGGAAGAGAGAAGUGGAAUUCUCGGAGUAGCGGUAAAAUGCGUAGAUCUCGAGAGGAACACCAAUGGCGGAGGCAGCUUCUUGGUCCAUUCCUGACGUUCAUACACGAAAGCGUGGGGAGCAAACAGGAUUAGAUACCCGCGUAGUCCCUGUCUCUUAUAC